GCCGCGGUAGUAUAGACUGGCCCAGUAUGCCGGCCUGUCGACGGCCGCGGACCGGCAGAUAGCCGGUGACCCGGGUUCAAAUCCCGGCCGCGGCGCCA
rnacentral:tRNA from 1 species